rnacentral:lncRNA from 1 species
AAUGCACCAUAUGUUUGGGUUCAUUUCCCUGGUCAAAGCUCAUGGGACGUGUUCAGCGAGAUACUUGAGAAGACCCAUGUGGUAACAACACCUGGCAGUGGUUUCGGACCAGCUGGUGAUGGUUUCAUUAGGGUUAGUGCUUUUGGUCACAGAGGCAAUGUUCUAGAGGCCUGCAAAAGAUUCAAGCAGUUAUACAAGUGAAGUGUAGUAUGAGAAUGGUUUCAGUUUCAGCUGCCCUCCAUUAUGCUUCAUGUUCUCUGUGAUAGGAGGACUGGAGCAGGAUUCGUAUCUUAUGUAUCUCCCUCGUUAUUUCUCAUCAGAUUUUAUUUUUAAUUUGGUGUAGAACCUAGUAACUUUUACGAAGAUUGAUUUUGAAUUGGUAUACCCUGAUCCAUUUGUAAGGCUCCAAAAUUUGGUCACUGUUACAAAAGUCACAGCUUGGAAAGCUUUCGUAGGGACAAAAAUAGCAUAACCCAAGCACAUUUUGAUCAGAGGAGAGCAAUUUUCAACACACAAACUGAACUCAGCUCCCAACUCAACGGUCUGAGGAUCACCACCUAAUCUCAGUGGGUUUGUCUUUGCUGCUCUGCCAUGGCAUAUAUUCCGUCUAAUGCUUUGUUUAGGCAGGGAGCAAAUGAGGACAAAUUUGACGACCCAUUUUGCAACAAUGCCAUGGGCUUGAAUCAAAGAACCCACUGAGAUUAGGUGGUGAUCAGCUGCAAGUGUUUAUGGCUGGGGUUUUAUUCACCAGUUGGGCACAAAUUAACAGGGCCACAAAUGGCAUAUUUUGAGGCCAAGAGGAUCACAUAACAGGAAAGGUUUGAGAAUAAACUUAUUUCUAAAAUCAUUUGUGCCGGUGUAUAGCAGCAAACUAGCAUUUCCUAUAUCUCCAAAGUUCAUUCCAGCUACUGAUACAUUUAAGAUACAAUGGACAUCUAUUUUACAAUACUCCAUCGAAGUAUGCCCGAAACACACCUUAACUAUUCUGUUCCAUAAUAUAAGAACUAAUCCUUCAGGGGUUGAUGAUUUACAAGUACGAAAUUAGAUUGUCUAAAACUGCUCUAUGCUCUUCAUAAUAUUAUGCUCUUUGCAAGUUGUUUUGUUGUCCAGUUAGGUUGCACCGGCUACAGUGCACUGUAUGCUUCUCCCUAUUAAGAUCCUAUACGCAUAUUCACUUCUUUUCAGGGCGUCCUGGUGGUAGACGGAACUUUGGUGGUUGCACAACUGGAGUGUCAUCAUCCACAGGAGCCUCGACUGUUCUUCUCCACUCAAUUUUACAGGGAAUGGGGCGUAUCUCUUCUGAAUAUGCUGCACGAUAACUUGCCACAGUGAAACACUUCUCUGUAAAUGCGUACACAUCUUUUCCACAUGAGAGGAGGGCUGCAACAGCAUGGGAGCAUGAGAUUCCAUAGAGUUGCCAAUCACGGCAGGAACAGCACUGAGUCCCUAUGUUCACAAUGUAUGAUCACUCGGCUGAUAGAACCUCAAAUUCUACUUGAUAUGUUGACGCACGGCCAAUCACCUUCAUCAUUCGCUUAUCAGCAGAUGGGGCUAAAACUGAAAACCAUGAAUUGCUCUUUAAACGCUGCUCCUCAAACUCAGCCAUUAGUUUACCGUGAAUCUGCUCAAUCACCUGGAUUAUGGGCAGCUCCCAUGCUUCAAGAUUCCAUUUAUUGAAUUCCUCAAUAUUUGAAGAGAGAUGACCAUAUCGUGUUCCUUUGAAAUACACCAAUGCCCAACAGGAAGUUGGAAACUGUUGAAUCCACUUGGCUGCUUCAGAAGAAACCUCCUCAAUCUCUGCCAUUUUUUCUUUAAAAGCAAUGGUAGUUGUGGCAUAUGCUGCUUUCCAUAGAAGAUGAACAAGCCUCCAGUUCUUGAACUCUUUGCCCAUGCUUUCACUCAAGUGGCGCAUACAGAAAGCAUGGGAAGAAGUCAGGAAUUUCCUCUUUACAACAUCUUGGAUGCCCUUCUGUCAGUCCGAUAAAAAUGUGAGUUGAGGUACAUUCUCUGUGUUCAUUUCUAGUGCCUUAAUAACUCUGACAGGAACCACAUCCAGAGAAAACAGGAAUUGGGUCGACCCCUAACUUGGGGCUUCUGGAGAUAAAUAUGCACACCUUCCUUCUCAGCUUGUCGUCGCAAUUCUGCAGCUUCCUUCAUAAGAAUUGCAGCUAUUCUAUUCUCCGUGUCCAAAUCCAUCUCACCCUGCUAAGCAAGUUCCAAGAUAUAAACCAGUCUGUUAUGUCUCCAAAAGAAGAAAUAUGAAUUGAAAUAGAAAACAGUGCAAUAAUAUUAAAGGCAAGCUUAGACUGCCUCCACCAUACAACCAUAUUCCAUGUGUAAGAACAUCCCAGGUCUCUCUUAAUCAAUUUCUACUGUGUGUAAUUUAUUUUGGUAUGUAGCAUUGACUGUUACAACCCGUGUAACUUUCUAAGGAUUAAAACACAGACACUUUCAUACUUUUGCGCUAUCCAUUAAACAACCAAUGAAGUUUGAAAAAGAAUGAAGAUACUUUUUCUUCGUCCUUUACCCUUCCCUCAUUUUCCGACAUCAAAACUGAGUCUUAUGGUAAGGAUGCAAAACUCCAACCAUGCUUUCAAAAUCGUAAAAAGAAAAAAAUAAAUCAAACACCCAGCGCGCAUCACAAACCCUAAUUCUCGAAUAUUCGUUUUUCAGAUGAUCGAUGCCCAUUACAUUAAUCACAACAAACCCAGUAACGUAUAAAGGGACGAUAUUGAAUUCCCAAAUAUUCAUUUUUGCUAGACGAUUGAUGCCAAUUACAUUAAACAAAACAAACCCGGCAACGUACAAAGGGCCACAGUACGUGCAUAUCACAAACCCUAAUACAUGGAUUUCAAGAUCGGAUCUUUUUUUAAAGUUAAAACCAAUGCUUGGUCUAUCUUUUUUUUGCUUUCCCUGAUACCAAAUAAUAGCAAAAGAUUUCGAUUUUUCUUGCGACACCAUCAAGAGCUAACUAAACGAUUUUCUCUGCUUGGUUGCUGAGAAAUUGAAGGAAAAGCAGAGAAACUGAGUUGAACCCUAGGAUAGAAACCUGGACUCAUCUUUCUUAUCUUUUUCUACCAUUUUUCCCGGCAAACGAUCAUACGAGUAUUAAAAAAUUUAAAAAAACAAAAUAUAAAAACGAAAAAAUAAAAUAAAAACCUCGUCUCUUCUUCUUCUUGUGUUUCUGUGGUCGAAUUCUGCCUCUUUCUCUCUCCUCGGUUCCCUCUUUCUCUCUCCUACGGCCUUGUUUCCAGAAAGCUCUGACUCGUCUUUUUUACUUAUUUAUUUAUAUUUAUAGUUACUUUUUGCAAAAUAAUGGCUUUUAUUUCACUUUGAGGACUCCAAAUACAUCAUAUUUGACUAAUGACCCCGCUUAAAAAUGAAAACUACAAAAUUUCAGUCGGUCCUGGAAGGCUAGAUACAUUUUGUAGUUUUUAUUUUUUUUAAAUAAUUUUUUUUUCUUGUUUUUAUUUAAAAUACGAUUCAUUUUAAAAAAUAAAAACUAUGUUUAUAAACUAAAAUCUAUAAAAUCUUAUUUUAUUUUGAAAUUUUAUAAAACUAAAAAAAAAAUGAAAUGUAUAAUUUAAAUUUUUUAUACUAUAUAUAAAAUAUAUUAUUAUAAAUAUUAAUAUUAUUUUUUUAUAAAUAAUAAUAAUAUCAUUAAUAUACAUAUAUCAUAUUAUAUUUUUCAUUAUUUUUUAUUUUUUAGCAUUAUUAUAUUAAAAUAGUGUAAUAAAAUAUCUUAUGCUUAUAAUUAAAUACCCUAAAAUAAAUUAGUUAAAUUAUUUUUAAAAUACAAAUAUAUCCACUUAUUUAUAAAAAGAUUCAUUUUAAGUAUAUAUAAAAUGAUAUUAUUCAUAUUCCUUAUUGUGAGUUCUACAAGGUUUGUGAUUUUUAUUUUGUUUUUUUUUUCAAUUUAAAAGACACUCUUCAAACAUGUAUUCAAUUCAAAUGGACUUCUUUUUAUUUUUUAUUUUUUUUAAAGAGGAAAACAAUUUAAAUAUAUACAAAAGUAUUUUCUAAAUAAUUAUUGUACCAAAAUUCUUUAAAAUUAUUUUAAAAAAAUUAAGACGAUACAUUGAAGUGAUUUUGAUUAAAAUGUAUUAGAUACUCUUUCCAAAAUCCAAUAAAAUUCUCAUUUUUAAAUACUUUUGACAUAAAAUCCUCUUACUCUUACUUGCAAUUCCCAUGUCUAAGGAAAAAGCUACAUUAUAUUGUUGAAACUUCAAUUAAGGAAAUAUUGUGAGUAGAUAUCAAUCAAAUCCAAGUCUAGAACACCGAAUAGUUGCUAGCAUAUACUCAAGUAUCUUUAGAGAACGAGAGAUUAUAUGCUUGUAUUCUAGAGUAUUGAGAUAGUUUAGAGGAAUGACGUGACGAUUGAAUAGAUACCUUUUGUGGAGAACCUUUCACCAGGACAUUGACCGAGAGAGUCUUUGUUGGUCACAAGGAUAAUAUAUGUUUUAGAUGAGUAUUUAGUAUACUUUGAUAGCAUAAUGCUUUAAGGGUUAGUGGGAGAAUGUUAGGAUAGAGCUCUUAAAAGUAUGACAUGAUGUAGUGAAUUUGGAAUUCAUUAUUCAUUUGAUGAUAUUUCAAGUUCACUUUUAUCUAUCCUUAUUCCAUAUAUUAUACUCUAUAAGCAUUCCAACUUAACAUUUCUUUUAUUGUACAUGACUUGGAUGCAUUAGGAGUUGCAUGAAAGAUCCAAGUCAUGGGUUUCUUUCAAGUAAAUGAUUUAUUCAUAAUCGGUUUGUGGAAUUGGACAAUCCAUUUGAUACUAUAAUGCACCACCUCCUAAUUGGAGGAAUAGAUGGUCUUGGUCAUCAAGAUGGGUCCCCAUGGUGAGUGUACUAGUAUGUAUGGUUAUAUAUUGUACAUGACCUAUGAUAAGUCAUGACAUAAGACUAUUAAGUAGUCAUGACUUCAUCAAGUUGUUAUACUGUAUAAUCUUUUAACCUUAAAAGAAUAUUGAAUUUGUAUAGAAGUUAGUAGUGACUUUGACAUAGGUGAGAUCAUAAGUUGAUUAUAUAUUCCCUAUGGAUUGGGUCACUAUUGAUAAAAACUUAUAGCAAUAGGUAUUUCAAUAAAGGCAUCAUGAUAUCUCAUGGACUUUGAGAUGGUAUGUCCCCUUAGGUGAUCCUAAGGACGUGUAAUCACAAAAUCCGUAGGGUUGCAAGAAUUCCUUUAGUGGAAUUUGACAUAUGCUCUUAGUGACCUAGAGUAUAUCAUUUGAUCAUAUAAUAGGAUGAUUUAUAACUUAAGGAUUAUAGAGGUGGUUUUGAAAGGCUAAUAGUUUGAGAUUGUAUAUAGUAAAUAGCAGGUUACAAACUCAAGCACUUGUGUUUCAUUGUAAUAACGUAAGGUAUUGGAGUGUAGUUGACUUUCUAUAAUGAGAUAUUAAGUCAACUUCAGAAUUGGAUUAUGAGGGAACCAAUAUUGUCCUAUGGGUCCUAGUGGUCUUUACUUGAGUUCAUAUUCCUUGAUGGUAUGGUUUAUGAGGGUUGAAUGAGUUUUUAAUUCACUUAUGUGUAUAAGAGCAUUUUGAUAAUUAUGUAUUGUUGCAUAGGGGUAAGUGAAUGAUAUUUAUGAAUUGUACUAAUUGACUAAUUGGAGCUCUAUUGAGUUAAUUAAUCAAUUAGUAACAUUGUUGGGUUAUAUUAAGAAAGUUAUGUUUAUAGUGGGAGCUUAGUAGGUAGCUUAUAAAUGCCCUUUUAGGGGUUAGGGCUUCUAACUUUGUCACUUUCUCCUUGUAGUCCAAAGAGAGAACCCUAAUCUCUAGUCUUGAGAUUUCCAUCAUCUUAGUGCAUAGACUCAAGGGGGAGUCAUCGGGUGGAAGGAUACUAUGUUUACAAGAUCUACUACGACUUUGGAGUCUUUUACAUUCACUGAAUCAAUCCGAGAACAUCCGAAUCGGAGGUAUGUGGCAUUUUUAUCUAGAUCUAUGUUUUAUAUGGUAUUUUGAGUGUUUUGGAAUAUUAAGUUUUCCAUUGCAAUAGAUUUAUUAAGUCUAAGAUAGAUUUUCAUGGACUCUAAUGAUCUAGGGCUUGGAAUAAAGCAAUCCAAGAUUUCCUAACAAAUAUUUGCUAUUAUUGUUAAAAUGGUAAUUAAGGAAAGUUAAGAGUAUUGUAUUAUAAAAAAAGGUGCAAAAGUUAAAGAGUAUUGUAUUAUAAAUAUAAGUGCCCAUUUUAAGUCUUUUACAAAUGUGAACCCUUGUUUUAGCUUGCUACAACUUUGAUCCUUUAUAUCAUUGAGAGUACUUCUAGUUCUUAUAAAAAUUUUCUAACUGUCACUCUUUGUCUUUUCCUACAACAUCCAAAUUUCAAUAACAACAAUGUUAUUACCAUCCUCAACAUUGAUGAAGGUGGAGUAAGAGAGAUUAUCCCAAGGAUCAUCCUUAGCCCUCUUGAGUCUCAACUUUGGGUAAUAUCUAUGUAGCAACAAGUCCCUUAAGCAAACUUAAUCUUAACAAAGUUUAUUCUAUAUUAUAAUUCAAAUAUUAAUUCUUAAGCCAUCUCAACUUGACUCAAAAGAGGGAUGGAAAGGAUGUAAGAAUUAUAGACUACUUUGAUGUGAUUGAUGGGACAAACAUAGGUGGUCUUAUCAUUACCAUGCUAAUAACAUGCUUCAUGUUUGUUGCCAAAGAUAUCAAGGAUUUUUAACUAAAUUAUGAAGGUAAUUAUGUUGAAUAGGAUUAAUAAUUUAAGCAAUUAUUUUAUUUUAUUUAUAGUUAUUAACAACAUUUUGACUUUUUUUUUUUUUUUUUGAAUAACACUUUUGUGUUUCCUAGUUUUAAAACAAAAGGCAAUCAAAACCCUAUUAGGUCCAAAAUAUGACGAGAAGUAUCUCCUCAACCUUUUAAAGGAAAAACUAAGAGAUAUUCGAUUACAACGGAUACUUACAAAUAUUGUAAUCCCUAGUUAUGGCAUCAAGCUUUCCUACAUUACAAUCUUUUUUGGUUAUCAGGUUUAGCUUUAUCACUUAGAAGUUCUUUUCCAAGCCUCAUAAUUUACUUCUUUCAUGUUAAAUUAGUGUGCAAUUUUGAUUAAUAUUGUUUGUCCUUUUAUUUAAUUUCAUGCUUUAGGUGAAAAGCAAAUCAAGCUUAGAUGCCUUGCUGUCGAAAAUAUGUAUUGGAACAUUGAGAACACCAAUUUAUAUCCCAGCCCAUUAUUUUGAAAUCAAAGGUUCCAAAAGGGAAAGUGAGAGAAUUCAAUGUCAUUGAUGGUUGUACAGCCCUAAACAAUCCAGUAUGUACACAAAUUGGAUAGUGUUUCGUUUACUAUAAAUCUUAUCUUAAUGAAAAUUGGAACAUAUGUUAAUCUUCUUCUUCUACAUCUAUGGCAAUUAAUUCCACUUAAUUAUUGUUAAAUUUUUUCAGACUUUGAUUACAAUUGGAGAAGUGAAGAAGGAGAUCAACCGGGUGAGUCUUCACUUCUUCCUUGUAAGGCUAGCAGAUUAUGGUCAGUGCCUAGUGAUAUUAUUAAGAACAAGUUAACAUAGGAAGAGAAAUAUGAUACAAACAAAGCAACUACAUGGGGUGUGUUGGGAUGGUUGACUAGUGAUGUUUCCACCACCCCACUAGUGAAUGCAUUCACCCAAGCUGCACACCUAAUUUUUAUAUUUGCAUUGUCCCUCACAAGGAUGAAAAUGUUAGUUUUCAUGGAUAUAUAUUGAUUAUUUGAUUUUAUGGAUAUAUUAAAAAAUAUCGAUAAAAAUAUUGAUAAAGAAAAAAUUGAUAAAAUUCAUAGAAAUAUGAUAAAAAAUUCCAAAAAAAAAAAAAAAAGAUAAAACAUGCAAUAGAACAAAUAUUAAAUUUGUUUUCAUUGUAUGUAUGUAUUUUUUCUUAUAUUUAAUUACUCCAUAAAAGAUAUAUAGAAAGAAUUAUUAAGAUAGGAUGGUUUUAUUAAUUUUGAUUUGUAUUUAAAAUGAUUAAAAUUAAUUUUUUCUAUCGACGUAUUCGAUAUUCCAAAAUUUUGGCCAAAUAAAGCAACCACGAAACCAAUGAGAAAUAUCUUCUCUACGACGUUUCAAAAGAGUCCUAACAACAAAGUCAAAACAUAUACCUAUUCAAUGAAAUUAUAAUUCGAUGCUAAUAUUACACUGAAAAUAACAAAUAUUAUAUCAAACAGCUUGAAAAGAAAUGACUACAUACUACACCUAAAAUAUGGACAAUUUUUUUAUUAUUUUUUUGUAUGAUAUCAUUCAAUCAGUCGAUUUUGUACCAUUAAAGCCAUGAGUAAUGUAGCCAUAUUUCAAGUUCUAAACUAAUUUUUUUUAUUGAAAAAUAAAUAAAUUUGGACGUUGAUGUGGGUUUUACUUUUCUUUGGUUUCAAAUGAGAUGAUAAAAGCUAAUCAAAUGUCUUAGAAACAAAGGCAAAAGCAUGGAAGAACAUAAAUGUAGGGACCCCUCCCUCCGAGAACACGUGGCACGCAUCUUACAGUGACACAUGGCAUGCAUCUUACGGUGACACAUGACACGCAUUGUCAUCCGAGUCACCCUCAUCCGGAUCUUCCUAUAAAGCACACAUGGCACGUUUUUUCGGACUACCUCAAGAAAGAUCAAACGACACUUAUAAACAUAUCAUCCGGACGGCUUACACAAUACACCCGGAUGAUCAACAUAUGCCAUCCGGAUACAAUGGUCCGGAUCAUUGACUGAAGUAAGCAAGUCUCACACGUUACCACAACAGUCUGUCAUAGCCCACGUUCCGCCGCCUGCAGGGUGAGAGGACAAGAUGAAGUGACAACAAGUCACUUCCUAUGAUCAUUCCACAUGGUCACUUCCCACGAUCUCUGACAGCCGCAUCACCUACCACGAUCUCUGUCAGCCACCCGUAGGGUGGUGAUAGCCCUGCCACCACCUAAUGUCAUCAUAACAACACAAAAUAUCUCUCUGUCAUUAAAGAGGCAAUCAAAGCUUCUGAUACUAUAUAUAUCAACCUUCACACAAGGAGGAGGGUAAACUUGCGAUACCUAGUAAAAAGCCAACUGAUUAUCUCUCUCCAACCAUGGCUGACAAAACCAUCGAAGGAUGCGUUCGGACACCGUGUCCGGACGUCUUUUGCAGGUAUAGCGACUGAGUCAAGAACCUAUAUUGGUUGAGGUCGCGCAUCCAUCCAUUUGGCAACUACGUGGAACAACAAGAGCGCGAGGUAUCAACAAUAAAGUCUUGUUAUGGAUGACUUCUUGUUGGAUUUCUCCCGGGGCAAACACAAGGAGAAGAAGAAGAUGAUUUCAUAAGGGUAUUUUUGACAUUUUCACCAUUAUUUACAUAAAUGAUUUUUUUAGUUUCUUGUAAACAAUCUUUUGAUUUUUUUUACUCAUCCAUAUUUUAAAUUUUUCGAUAUUUUUAAUAAAAAUAUUUUUCAUUAUUUUUAGCCAUCAUAAUCUAUAUUUUUUAUAAUGAAAAAAUAUUUUUAUUAUUUAUAAUAAAAAUAAUAAUUAUCCAUCUUUUAUAAUAAAAAUUGAGAAGAAAAACAUUUAUGAUAAUUUUUUUUCUUCAUUUUUGACCAUCAUUAUCCAUAUUUUUUCAUGUCUACCUUCAUCAUCUUUCUUCUUUAUUGAAGACAUGAUUUACUAAUUAAAAAAAUAUAUAUUUUGGUGCAAAAAUCCCAUUAGCCAUUUAUUUUUUUAACUUGCAAUAUUCUCCAUUAUGUCUCACAAUUAAUUUUAACCCUUUUCUAAGCAUUUUUUUUAAUCCAUACACUUAUUUAUGCCCUUCCACAUGGAUAUAAUUUAAGGUUUAUUAUUUAUGUAAUUUUUUUUUUUUACAAAUAUUGGUUGUAAAAAUAGUUUUAGAAAAAAUAUUUAAAAAGAAUUUAGAAGUGAAAAUAUAAGAAAUUUUUUUAAAAAUGUUAUAAGUGUUUGAAUUUAAAAGGUUAAUACUAAGUGGGGGUUUGAAAAUAUAGUACUGGAUGUUCUUAAAAAUGUGUGGAAGUAUAAUGUUGGAUGCUUCUAAAAUCAUCCAAUAUUACAACUCUAGAUACUCGUUCUAAUCAUUUAUUUUCUAUUGAUAGAAUACAAAAAAUUGGUUCAAAUGCAUUUUUAACAUCGUUGGAGAUGAUUAAUUGUUUAUCCAUUGCUCAAAAACCAUAAAUUUCUUUAAAAAAUUAUUAGGGUUUUGGAGAGAUUAGAGGAGAAAAAAAUUGAAAGAAGAAGAUGAAAAUGGACAUGUACUAACUCUAAAGGUAUUUUGGUCUUCAAUAAGGGGUGUUUUUGUCCUAAAAAAAAUCAUAAUGUAGGUGGCUCCAUAGAGUGAUUAGGUGGUUAUAGAUCUACUUUUUCUUAUUUUAUUUUUAGGAUAACAUUACCCAUAUAUAAAAAGACUGUUUUACCCUUACAAAUUCAUAUUAAUGCGCCUUUCUUCAAAUCCAACCUCUCCAUCACCCCCAUAAGCUCGAAGUGCAUUCUAAGGUAUUUGCUCCCUUUUUCUCAUUGAUUUCUAUAGAUUAGAUUAAAAAGUGUGUUCUAAGUAUAUGAUGUCAAAGAUGAUUCAAACAAGUAAAAUUGCAUAUUAGAAACACUGGACAAAUAAAUCAUCCUCGAUAUUUAAUUUUUCAAUCAGAAUUUCAUAAAUUAUUGUAAAGAAGUGCAUUCAAAAGAUAUAUUCACUUUCAUUCAAACACUUUUUAUAGUGUCUAAGAGUAUACUUCUAAGUACUAAAAAUGUCUAGAAAUGGACUUCUAGACACUAUAAGAGGAAUUGAUGCUAUAAUUUAAGACAUUUUUAUAAGGUCUAACGUUUUAUACCAUAGUUUAUAAUACUCUUAUAAUAUGAUAUCCAACAUCUAAUAUUAUAGUUCCGAACACUUCCAUAAUAUUUGAUAUUAAACAUUUGUAAUUUCUUUUUUUAAAAUUUAAAACCUUUUUAUUAUUUAUUUUUUCUAUUCUAAAUAUUUUUUUUUCUUUUUUAAAAGGGAAAAAAAAGAAGAAAAAAAUGUAUUUUUUUUUAGAUAUGAUGUGUUUAGUAUGGUUUUAGAAAAAAUACAAAGGAAAAAUUAUUAAAAAAUAAUUUUCUUAUUUAAUUUUACUAUGAAAAAUAAGAAAAACAAAUUAAAUAUAACUAAAAUUAAUUAAAAAUUCAUACAUUUUAAAUUAUUUGAUUUUUACAUAAAAAAAUAAAAUAAUAGAAAUCAAUUUAAAUAAGACAUAAAAUAAUUUAUUAAAUUUAAAUUUAUCUUUUAAAAUUUUUUGUACUUUCCCUUUUUAAUUUUUUUCUCUAUACAUUUUCCCCACCAAACUUAACCCUUUGCUGAUGUGGCUUUAAUUCCAUAGAGGACUUACUUCGGAGGUUGGUUAUAGAAUAUAUAUAACUUUGGAAAUUUAAGCUAUAAUUUCUUUUAUGUUUGGUUUUUGAAAAAUUGUAAGAAAAGAAAAAAACUAUAUCAAAAAAUUAAUUUUAUUGUGUUUAAUUAUAUUAUAAAAAAUAUAUCAAUUAAAAUUAAAUAUAAUUAAAAUUAAUUAAAAAUUUAUAUAUUUAAUUUGUAUAUUAAAGAGUUAAAAUAAAUAAAAUGAGUCUAAAAUAAUAUAUAAAAAUAAUUUAAUUAUUAUAAAUCAAUGUUUUAUUUUCUUUUAUUUUUUAUUUCCAUUUUCUUUAGCUUGUAUUUUUCUUUCAAAUUAAAUCAAAUUUAACCACGUCAUCAAACAGUAGGACGAUGCCAUCUGACGUGGCAUUGUAACGUGAGAACCUAGGGUUUGAAAGUACCAUAUUCCAAAACGGCGGCGUUGUAAUAAAGCUGUUUCAGCUUUUAGAGAACACACUAGAGGCUUUGAGGAUAGAGAGUGGCGUAUCUGUAUCUGCAUCCAAAAACAUGUACUCUCUCAUGUCUUCGCCUUCCAUCUCUUCAUCUUCCUCCUCCUUUUUAGGCCAAACCCACUUCGAUUCCAGGUAUCAAAAUUCAACUUCUUUAUCCUCUGUUUGAUUGCUGAGAAAAUAUGGGGAAAAGAAGAAACCUAUAGAAAAUUUUGGGUAUUAUGAGCAUGUUUGGUUCCUGAUUUUAAGAACUUAUUAGUGUUCUUGAAAACAAAAAAUACAAAAAACUUAUUUGGGAAAGGGAGAAUGUUUUUAUUUUUUGUGUUUUUUAUAUUUUCAAAAACCCAUUUUUUGAUAACAAUAAAAGGAUGUUAUCAUUAUUUUUUCAUUAUUUAAAGAAUAAAAUGUUUUUCUUAGUUUCUUUUUCUUCUUUUGGUGUGUCCUCUUGGUACAAAGAUGAGCUCCAUCCAUCCACUACAUCCCCAUCCGUAAACUCUUUCUUCUUUCUUAAAUUAUUGAAAUUAAUAUACUUACAUAUGAUGACAAAGUCAUAAUUUUAAAAAAAAAAAAUUAUAACUGAUGUAAAAAUUACAAAAUGAAAUAAUUUUUUUAAUUUAAAUGAAUUGUAUAUAUGAAAAUCAUUUAUAUAUUUAUAAUAUCAAGUUAAUGGAAGAAAACACUUUAUUAAUUAAAAAAAACUUUUAAACAUAUUUUUUGUUUUACUAUUCCAAUGAUGAAAAUAUCGGAAUAUAUCAACAAUAUAUCGUCGAAAUAUUGAGACAUAUUGACAAUAUAUCGUUGAUAUAUUAUGUAUCCGAGAAGGUAUAUCUUAAAUAUCAAUAAAUAUUGGUAAAUAUUGACGAUGUAUUUACGAUAUAUUGGUAAUUAAUGUGAUAUAAGCAAAAUAUCAGUCCUAAAUGGGAAAAAAUCACUGAAAUUUCAACGCUAUAUGAGAUAUAUCUCAUAUCUCCAAAAUCAGUAAAAAAUUAAAUUAUUAUAAAUAAGUUAAUUUUAAUUAUCUUAUAAUUUAUUUUGUUUACUAAUUAAAUAUAAAACAAAUAUAAAAUCAUAAAUAAAAUUAUCAAUAUUUUUAAAUAAAAAUAUUUUGUAUCAAAAUGUACUAAUAUUUUAAAAUAAAAAAUCAUAAAUAUAUUUAAAUAACAUAAUUAGUACAUUUACAAUAAUUUAGUUUUAAAUUAAUAAUUUUAUUUUAUUUUGAUAUUUAAGUGUAAUAAUAGUAUAUUGAGAAUGAUAGUACAUUUUCAAUAAUUUAGUUUUAAAUUAAUAAUUUUAUUUUAUUUUGAUAUUUAAGUGUUAUGAUAGUAUAUUGAGAAUAAAUUAACUGAGUACAUGUAUAAAUUAGUAUAACAUUGAAUUUAAAUUAAUACAUUUUUACAAUUAAUUAAUAUAUUUUCAAUAGAGGUAAGUAAAUUAACUUAAUAUAAUAAUAUAUUUAAAUCAUAUAAUUAGUAUAUUUGUAAUAAUUUAACUUCAUAACGAGUUUACACUUAUAAAAUUCAUAUUUCUUAUUAACCGACAUUAUAUAAUUAAAUUUAUUAUCGUAAAUCAUAUCAUAUAUAUAUUAAUUUUUUUAAAAAAUAACUUUAAAAUAUCAUACAUAUAUUAAUUUUUUUUAAAAAUAACUUUAAAAUAUCUAUUAUACUUCUAAUUUCAUUUUAAAAAGUUUUUUUCUUACAUUUUCAUAAGUUUUGAUGAAUUUUUGGUUUAUGAAUAUUUUGUGUCAAAAUAUCCACCGAUAUAUUUCAUCUAAUUAUCGAUAUAUCCGUGAUUAUCGAUAUUUUCAUUAUUGACUUAUUCUAAAAAACUUUUUUAUUAAUUCAACCAAACGUGUUAUUUUUUAGAAUAAAAACUAUCUUUCAGAAUUCAGUUCCUAAAUACAUUUUUUUUAAGCAAAAAAAACUAUUAUUAAAAAUUUUUCUCAAAAAUUGUUUUUCAUAUGUUUUCAAAAAUAGCAACCAAAAGACCCAAUGUCCCUAUGUUUUAUGCUGUUUUUCAUUGUCAGCGACUGCUUGACUGGGUCAAGUAGUUGUGUUGGGCUCAGUUUGAGUGGAGUUUGUAGCGAUGUAAAUUUGUUUUUAUUACAUUUUUAUAGCUACCAAAAAGAGAGCCUGGGUGAACCCCCACACGAAUCAGAUAUCAAAGUCAAUUUUCUUUCACCCUCUUUCGUUGCCGAGCAAAUUUUAGGUAAAAACCAAUUAAGUCUGAUGUUUGCUGUUUUUGUUUCUUAAAAAUUUGAUCACUAUUGCUUGAUUGAGUCUAGUUGUGAUAUCCCACAUCGGAUAGGGGAGGAAGUUCCUGGCGCUAUAUAUGUAGAGGCUCCUCUUAACCAAGUAGACGCGUUUUAAAGCCGUGAGGGCCCCCUUGGGCCCAAAGCGGACAAUAUCUACAUGGUUGGGUGCGGGUCGUUACAAAUGGUAUCAGAGCCGAUCCCCAACCCCGGUGUGGGGGUUUGUUUGGCUUUGUCUAUUUGGCCCCGCAAUCCCAUGGGACACAACGAGGACGUUGUGUCUGCAUGGGGGGGUAUUUGUGAUAUCCCACAUCGGAUAGGGGAGGAAGUUCCUGGCGCUAUAUAUGUAGAGGCUCCUCUUAACCAAGUAGACGCGUUUUAAAGCCGUGAGGGCCCCCUUGGGCCCAAAGCGGACAAUAUCUACAUGGUUGGGUGCGGGUCGUUACACUAGUAGUUGUUUCGGGCUCAGCUGGAGUGGAGUUGAUAGCGAUGAAAGAUUUGAAUUUUUCUUUUCCUGCAUUUUCCUGACCACCAAAGAAAGCCUGGGCCUAACCCACUCGAAACCAUGGUUGGGAAAUCAAAUUUUUUUCCCCUCUGUUAUGUUGUUGAGAAGCUGCAAGGAAAAAGAUGAGGAAAGAAGAGGAGAAUUCUGGGUCUUAUGUUUUCUGCUGUUUUGUUUGUUAAAACAUGGUCAUCUCUUUUGCUUCUCAUACAUCCUUUGAGAACCAAACUAAGCCUAAUUAAUAUUUUAAUCCUAGAAUUUUUUUUUACUUAUUAGCAAACUGAAAAAAAAAAAGGGAUAACCGAUUAAAAGGGAUGAAAUCUUUCCCACUUCGAAGGAUUUUUUCAACCUAAAAAAUAUUAUUUUUUGACAAAAAUGCUCUCAUUUCUUUCUUGUAAAAAUAACCAUUUCUUUUAAAAUGCACAUGUAAAUCAUGAAAAUGUUGAAGGGUAUUUAUGUCAAAAAUGGGUUACUCUUCAAGUUCAAAAAUGGGGAAGGUUAGUUUUACAAAUUUGGGAUUUUUUUUUUUGUUCAAUUUGCUCUUAAAUUAGAUGUAGGUUUCUGUACUGUAAAUGAUUCAUUCACAUUGAUUGAUAUGCUUUUAUUGCAGAAACCCAAAUGCUUGCCUUCCCACAAAAGAUAGUUGGAUAUGUAAAUGUGUGGCAACACCUUCCACAGAGACGACUGGUACAUUUUUUUUCCCAUUAAUUUUAUAGUUAUAUCAAUGUUCUUAUUUUUAAUUAUGUUUCUAUGCAUCUGGUCAAGUCAUUAGUGUUAUGAAUUUCUGGGAAAUUUUUUAGUUAUGAACCUAUUUUGCAGUUCGAGAGGGGCUUUAAAUUUUUUCUAGAAGUUAUUUGAUAACAUAAUUGAGUGCCACUACUGAAUUUUUUAUGGGAUAAGUUGGGAUAAAUUGCUUAUGAUAAUAUGCCAUAGUACUGACUAAAAUCUUAUUUUCUUUGGAAAUGGGAUUGAAAAAUUGAGGGUCUUGCAACAUGAUGUGGUGUGGCCAAUGGACUCUGUUUCUUGAUUUUAAAGUGUCAAUCUGACACAAUUUUUCCUUCAUUUUGUUAGGCUAAUGAUAAAUAUGCUGUUUCUGCAACUUGAAGAUUUUAUUGUUACCAAUUCAGCACUACGAUUUUCAAUCCCUAAGUGUUAGUUCCACCAAAUUUUGCUAAGUGUUGCUUAUCAUGUGAUGUAUGAGAGUAAAAAAUAAUGUAAUUUUGGGAGCGUUUUGAUUAUUGCCAUCGAGUGACAUUUGAAUAGCAGAGGGAUGUAGCUCAAAAGGGAGAGGUCUUGUUUGGCAUGGUAUCAAGUUCUUGUCAUCUUAAAAAAUAUUAUUGCCACAUGAGUUCUAAUAGUGGCUUUUAAAAAUUUGUGUGAGAAGUAUAUUGUUAGCUAGUUUUCAAAUUGUAUCAAUUGAUGCAUGUGUAAGGCUUAAGUAGCUUGGCGAUUAUUUUACUUGAAACUAACACUCUCAACUGAGGAAUUUUAUCCCUUGACUAAGGUUGGAUUGUCAAGGCGCCCUUGAGGCUUGACUCAAGUGGUAAAGGGUUGGGGUGGGUUUACAGGAGGUUCCAGAUUCAAGUCCCAAUAGGGAUAAAAAGAAAAAAGAAAAAAACAAAUUACCUAUCAAAAAAAAAAAAAAAAGGUUGCAUUGUCAAGGCUUCUUAAUGACAUUUUCCUAAUAGAUGAUAAAAGGUGUACAUUUAAGGCACCAAAAGUAGGUGAAUCCUAGUAAACAUGCAGUGAAAAAAGAAUCAUCUAAUCAGUCUGGAAAGGAAAAAAAUGGGGGACUACUGGUGCCCAACACUUACAAGAACCAUUUGCCCAAUCCUUCUGUGUCAGCAAAACGAAAAUGAUAUAUUUUUUCCUCCACAAAGUCAACUAUCAACCACAUGAACAACCAAGGCUUAAGGAAAUAUAUAUGAGCUUUAAAACAUAGAGCUAAACCCCAUCAAGAACCCUUUGAUUCGUUUCUUUCUAUAAACAUCCACAAACACUCAAAGCGGUUGUCCUGCAAAAUUUCCUCCUCUUUCAUAGUGAACUUCCUUUCCAAAACAUUAGGGAAUUUUUUAGUAGUGGCAGGAAAAGCUCAAUAGAUCCCAAAUAGAGAAUAGAUAAAAGCCCAAAGUGUUGGAGAAGAUUAUGAUUGAUGAGUCCUCUAUUUUUGAAAACCAGUCACCACUUCCCCAUGAUGUGGUCUCCAAAUUCUCAAUUAGUCUAAUAUAAAUAUCUCAAUGGCAUUUAAAUCUUAUAUUUUCUAAUAAAACAUUGUUCUGAUAACAUGGAGCCCUGGUGGCAUUUAAAAAUUAUAGGGACAACAGCUUGAGUAUUUCUUGAUGUUUGGAGAAAAAUUUUCUGUCAUAAUUAUAUAUCAUUGAUUUUUUUAUGGUGAAAAUUGCUGAAGAUGUUUACUGUUUGUUGUGAAGCUCACACGACAAAGGUCUCUCGCAAUGCAAAUAUGGCCAAACUUCAAGCUGGUUAUUUGUUUCCAGAGGUCUGUGAUGCACUUGCAUUUAUUUUCUGUAAUGCUCUAAUUUAUUAUUGAUUGUUAACUUCCAUUUACUUGUCUUGGAAUUAAUAUAGUAGUACACUAAAAUUUUCUUCAUAUCAUGGGACACAUAUUUCUUGUUGAACUUAAUGACUCUGGGUCUGUUUAAUUUGUCUCACUUUUCCAAAAAUACUAGUUAAUUCGUCUUUCAACUUGAGCUACUUUUCUAAUAUGUUUUGAAAUAGGAUGGGUUGGAUGAGGAAUAAGGUAACCUAUUCUUUUUUUAACGAGCUGUUGCGCUCCCCUUUGUUAGGCGUUGUUGAUAUAAUUGAUCUUUGCCUAUCCCAAAAAAAAAAAAAAAAAAAAUCCAUCUUACUUUGAGAUUGAGAACUUGAAUUUCUGACUGAGAAUUUUUGUCCAUAAAAGUGGAUGUAUCUUUAAAUUGUUUGGUAUGAUUCCAGUACAAAAUGGCAAAAACUACUGAUGUGAUUCACCUGUAUGUUGUGUGGUUUUGGAUCUGCAAUCUGUCGUCUAAGUUAUUUUUUAUUUUACAAUUUAUUCAUAGUUAAUGAGAAUUACUAUAUCCAGAUGGAGAGUAAGAUGUCCUGAUUAAUUGCAAUGUUUUAUGAAAAAAAUUGAUGCAGGAAGAGAUUAUCUAGGAAGUUUUCAAUAUCUUCUGCACCUUAAUUUUUUUUUUCCUUUUUGGUAUUGGUCUGUUAGUUUUGAACUAUUGUAUGGUUUAUCCAAAGUGGUCCAUGCACAGGGAUAGAAAGAGAAAAUCUUGUGAGUAUCUCUAUUUUGAUUUUUCAGGUUGUUUGUGUAUUAGAAUAGGAGUUACAUCUAUUUGCUUCCAGUAUGCUCUCUCUCUCUCUCCAUGCUUGUGUCUCUGCCUGUCUAUUCCAAAUUUGUCUAUUGAUUAGUGGGAUUUGUAAGUUGGCUGAUUUUAUCUGUCUUCUAAUUAUACAUUAGAUAUUUUGUAAUUUAUAGCAAUUGCUUUUCUUGGAUUAUUAGAUAGCCAGAAGAAGGUCAGCACACAUGCUAAAGUACCCUGAUGCACAAGUGAUAAGCCUUGGAAUUGGUGACACUACUGAGCCCAUUCCAGAAGUUAUAACUUCUGGUAUGGCAAAGGUAUUUGUCAAUUUUCAUUCAUUGAAAUUUCUUUUCUUGCAAGGCUUUUGCCCAAAGAGCUUUACUACUACAACAUUUAAUGAUGUGCUGCUGUUGUUGUUAUUAAAAUCCUCGCUAUUGGAUUUUCAAAUUAAGUGCUUUUCUUUUCUUUAAAGAAAAGAUUGUUCAGGCAUUCAAAACAUCAUGCUGCUCCACCCUGUUCUGCAAAACUGGUAUUGAAUUGGAUGCUUGUUAUUCCUUAUUAAAAUUAGACAUUUAACUUGUUGACAUCUGCUUACGGAGCAGCUUUUGUCUAGAAGUAAAGAUGAUGUGUUGCAUUAAAAAAAGAAUGACUAGAACUUUCUCAACAGUGCAAUGAUAGGUUUAUUUUCUUUUAGAACUUAAAUCCUUACUUGGGAUUUUAGUCAUCAAAAAAGCAAAAAAAAUUCUUGCAUGGGAUUUUCAUGCAACCCUAUUUCUUUUGAACUGAAAGAUGUUUUCUAAUCUUAACUAUAAUGAAAUCUAUCUAUUGAGCCAGUUAAGGCAUGGUGGUGGUGAGUGCCUUUAUAAACUAGUUACUCCUUUCACGUGGAAGUGUGUCUCCAACCUGGUUCGGUCACAGUUAAAACCAAAAUAAGCUUAAGAUCCUAUAAAAAAACUAGUCUGGGGUCAGCACUCCAUAGAUGAUGGAUCUGGGAACUGGGGUGUCAUUAACAUCAAAUCCUACCAGAGAUUCUUUAUUUCAGCCUAUUUUUUUAGUUCCCUUCCUUUUCUGUUCCUGGUUUUGCUUUGCUCACCUUUCCUUUCCUUGAGGGUACUCUUCUAUAUUUAUUCUCCCUUUUGAUAGGCAAAUAGAAAGUAAAACAGCAAACACUUAAAAAAAGUUUCACCCUGGUACACUUGAGAAAGCAAAAAAUAAAAAAUAAAAAAUGAAAAAUAAAAAAGUGAAGGACCACACUAAAGCCAAAACAAGGGCCUUAGCUUACCUCAUUAUAUCAGUGAAAUCUAGAAAAGACAGCCUCCCCUGCCUGACAGAAUCCCUGACCAACAGGACAGAUUUGAGGGGCAUGUAUAAUGUAAUGAAAUAAGCUCCAAUAGGUGGUUCUUUGCACUUCAGUCCUUUUUUCCCAUAAAAUUCCUUGCCAGCAUAACUAAGACUCCCUUGCUGAAUAAAGCAGCACCCAAGAGAGUGCAAGGAUGAAAAGGAAAAGAGCCCAUAGGAUACAAGUCCCUCACUAUUUCUACACGCUCUCUCUCUCUCCCAGUUUCUCUCCCUUUGCCUCUGCUUGUUAUGCCAUGUUAUAGCAAAUGGCAUUUUUGAGGAAACUCCUGAACCAGUUUAACUAUCAAUUUUGCGAUGUAAUAUGCUACUAAACAACAUUAUGAGGAAUGAAUUUUAGAUAAAUACAUUUUCUGAGUGUUUUAUUUGAAUAUUUCUUUUGAAAGAAAAUGUUCUGGAUAAUGUACUCACAUCGCUUGUCAAUUGGACACGGUUGCUCUGCUAUUUUUGCUUGUAUAUUCUUUUUAUUUUAUUUUAUUUUAAAAAUUUUUAUGUUUGCAGAAAGCACAUGCAUUGUCAACACUAGAGGGUUACAGUGGUUAUGGAGCUGAACAAGGUGAAAAAGUAUGUGGCAUUCUUGGGUCUUCUAAUUUAUUUUACAUUUUUGUAAUACAUGAACAUUGCUAUUUCUUUGAUUGCAUUUGAUAAUCUAAGGCUUGGAAAAUGCACUCUUUGCUUACAUGACUAUAUCCGUUCCAUCAUCAGUGACUUUUUCUCAUGUUUAAAUCUUAUCCAUGAACUUACAGAGUUUUCUUGCACAUUCAUAUGUGGAGUGAUAUAUUGAUGCUGUAGUUUUUCUUUGUUUCACAAAGUCAAUGUAGGGUUUUUCUUUUUGGAUGUUUUUAUUUCAUCAGAAUUAAAAGAAAGCAUUAACACACUUCAUUUUUUUUGGUUUCUUUUGGGUUUCUGUCUAUUUGAUUUUCUAAAAAAAGUGUUUUGUUUGCUCUGGACUAUGGUCCUCCGAGUCCUGCAUGGUUUUUUCUAUAUCCUCUUACAUCAUUGGGAGAGUAAUCAUAUGUAAGUUUCUAAAAUUAGGCAUGUGGGGUCAUUGUUUAAAGUAAGGCUAUGGCUAUAGGUCACAAGUAUGUGCCUGUACAUAUACAACUGUGUAGUUUCUUUUCUGAAAAUUAUUGUCAAUUUUUACACAUUAAUUCCUUGAGUAUUAGUUGUUCUUUUGUAUUUUGCUUUUAAUUUUUUAGUUUAAAAAUUUUGUGUAUUUUAUAAUACAUGAUAACAGAUUUUGGAAGCUGACACAUGGUUUGCAUUCACAUCUAAUAAUAGGACGAAAAGGAUGUAAGCUGACACAUGGUUUGAAUUCACUUGUAAUGAUAGGACGAAAAGGAUGUAAUCAUAUUACUUGUCUUUUCGGUUAAAUAUAUAUAAGUAAAUAUUGCUAAAUCAGCUCAACAAAGCCUUAUUUAACUGCUCAAACCUUCUUCAUCUUGCACUUCUAUCAAAGGUCACUGCAAGGAAUUAUAUAUGAUUACAAAUUUUCAGGAUUUCAUGCAUGUAAUGUUCUGGAUAAAUUUUUUAUACUGGCUGUUUACUUGACACCACACUCCUCCAUUUCUGGUUGUGGGAUUGGUUGGGUCAAACUUGAGAUUGUAGCCAUAGCAUGGGUUGAUAUUUUUAGUCCAGAAGUCUUUUUAAGCAUUCAUAAAACUUUUUAAAAGCUCUUGUGAUAUAAGAUUUGAUAUAGUGUUCUCUUAUUUACAAUAAAUGUAAUGGAAGGUGAUGUUGUAACACAAAAUGUUGAAUCCACGCAGCAAUUGAGAGCUGCAAUUGCUUCGACCUUUUAUGGUGACCUCAGCAUAGAGGAAAGUGAUAUAUUUGUCUCUGAUGGUGCAAAAUCUGACAUAUCUCGCCUUCAGGUUUUGUUGUGUUUUGAAUAUUUAUUUUUUCUCUACCUUCCCUUUUUUUUGUUUGUUUUUAUCUGUGUCCCGGUGGAUUGCCUAUAUUUGGUGGAUCUUUACUUAUUGAAUGCAAAAAUGAAUAGUAGUUUGGUUUACAAUUAUUUUUAUUGAUUUACUUUAUUUUAAGUUUCUUAAUUUCUCUGUUUCUCCUUUAUGGCAGGUCAUGUUUGGGUCUAAUGUUACAAUGGCAGUGCAAGACCCAUCAUACCCGGUAGUUCAUUUUUCUGUAUGAUGAUUUAAAAAAUUUUCAUCUCUGUAGUAUAACCAUGUCAGUUUUAUUUAGGUUCCUAAUUAUUUUAUUCAUUUUGAUAUCUAAAAUAAAACUCCCAACAUGAUUCUAGUAUAUCGAUCUGUUUAAUAAAACUUUCACUACGUAUUUUUUGAUAAUUGUAAAUGUAUUAGAUAGAAAGGGAAGCAUAUAUGAUGUAUACAAAGCAUCCAAAAGACCAAAAAGGUGUAGGAACACAAAAAAGGCAGCCACAACCUACAAGGAGCUUACCCAAUCCACAAAUUCUAAUAACGACAAAGAAUUGUUCCCACUGAACAAUCUUACCCACUCCCAAAAAAGGUUCAAGAAAGAACUUUUAAUUGUUUGGUCCUAGUUUUCACAAUUUUUGAAGUUUCUCCUAUUUUUCUCCCUCCAUAUAGUCCAGAAUGCACAUAACAGAGAAACCUUCUCUUUAUUUUCAACUAUGUAUUGUUUCAACAUGGUGUGAUAUUUCUGAGAUGAGGGGCCCAAUCCGCCUGCUCUCUCACUCAGGCCGACACUGGUGUAGGGAUACAUUUGUUUGGGUGGGUCCACUUGGAAAGUUGACUAAAGGACAAUUUAGUGUUUUUCUAACAGUUCAUCUUUUGGCCCCAGAAAAAGUGUCCUAGAUGAUGGUUAGAUUUGUUUAGUUGGGCUGACUUUAGUUGUAACAAUCUACUUGGUUGGAUUUGUUUAUUAAAUGUGAAAAACACCACAUACAUGUAAUGUAAUCCUAUUUAGAUAAUGACUAAAUGUUGGAAUACUUGCAGGCUUAUGUAGACUUAAGUGUUAUCUUGGGCCAGACUGGGCAGUUUCAGAAGGAUGUUGAGAAGUAUGGAAACAUCGAAUACAUGAAGUGUAAUCCAGAGAAUGGUUUCUUUCCUGAUUUAUCUACUGUUUCGCGAACCGAUAUCAUUUUUUUCUGUUCACCAUACAAUCCCACUGGUAAUGCUGCAACAAGGGAGCAACUGACCCGACUUGUACAGUUUGCCAAGGACAAUGGAUCAAUUCUAGUGUAUGAUUCGGGAUAUGCCAUGUAUAUCUCGGAUGACAGCCCAAGGUCCAUCUUUGAAAUUCCUGGAGCCAAAGAGGUAAGUUAGGAGAUUAUGGUUGGUUUUUCUAUCCUACAAGCCUUGCUUUCUAUUCUUCAUAUGUUCUCUUCAUAUUCUAGUUAACUUUCGCCUCUUGGGUAAUUCAGAUAGAUGUUGUUUGACAUUGUGAUGGGGAUGGGAGCUACAGCUCAUUCUACAAUGCAAUUGUGUUUGAGUGUCCUUGCUCAUAACUUUUGAUUUAUGUGAUCUCCAUUCUCAUCAUCUUUUAAACUCUAUUCUGUUGAGCAUGUUAUGAAUAAUGGAUUGUUUCCUGGUUUAUCACAUCAUGUUAGUUUUUUAUAAAAUGUUAUUUUGUUUUUCUUUUUUCAUCAAUUGGUAGAAUUGUGGGGAAUUUUGAUUAAAAAUGUGAUUUUACACUGGUGUUAUGUUGAAACACCUGGGAAAUGAAAUGAUUCACUUGUGUUUUGACAUUUUGAAAGGUUUCUAUUUUAUUGUUUAUGGCAUUUGAAGUGGUCUUUAUUUUGGGGUAGGAUCAGGCAUACUAAAAAGCAUGUCAUAAAUAACCAUUUCACUCAUGGUAAAAAUGCACCAAUAAAAAAGGCUUUUGAACUCUAAUUUCUUAGGGGAAGUGAUUUCAAUUUUACUUCUCCACGUUUUAUCUUUUUUCAAAUUCAUCAAGCAUUAAUUUUUUUUUAAUGGCAAUUCGUCAAUGAUUAAAUGCCUCUUCCGAAUUUAUUAGUUGUAUAAAUUAAACUUGUGGUUAUGCUUUGCAUUUUUUUUGUUACUAUUGUAUUUUCUCUGCUCGUGUCUUUGGAAAAGAAAACUGAAUGGUUUCUUUUCCAUGGACAUCCAUUACCCCUGUACUAAUCUCUAGAAAAAAGGGUUGGAACCGAUCUAUGUAAGGGCUAUGCUUGCUUGAACCUGUUUGUUAAUACCUUUUUAAGCUUUUAUUUUUGUUGGACAUGGCAAGUCUCUUCGCUUUGCAACUGAUAGCAUAGCAAAAUUAAGUUAAGCCUUUGGGUCUAGGAAAUCAGUUUAGGGAGGGGUGAUCAGAACUUUGGGCUGACACUGGGUGUUGUGAAUCUAUUGUCAUGGUCUGAGGGAUGGCAACUGCCCUAUCGGUUUCUUUUAUCAACAACUAUCCUGGGGACUAUAUCUAUGUAGAAUUCAUGUAUAAUUUAUUGGCCUUAUAUGGUGUUGCAGGUUGCAAUUGAGGUAUCAUCAUUUUCCAAAUAUGCUGGGUUCACUGGAGUCCGUCUUGGUUGGACUGUGGUUCCAAAGGAGCUUCUAUAUUCAGAUGGAUUUCCUGUUGCCAAGGACUUUAACCGCAUUGAAUGUACAACCUUCAACGCUGCAUCCAACAUUUCUCAAGCUAGUGGUCUGGCUUGUCUUUCACCAGAAGGCCUAGAGGUCAGUUUUGUGCUAUCAGUUUCUUGUUAUGGUUUCCAUGCUAAAAGUAAUUGAAGCAAAAAUUUGGAAAUCUUAAUAAUUUCAACUCCAAAUAAUUUCUAUAAGAUUUCAAAUUUUCUUUUCCUCAAGUACUAGAAAGAGCAUCCUUCAUACCAAAUCCAAAUACAAAUUUAUGGAUUCUUCUAUUCCCUGCAGGCUAUGCAUAAACUGGUAGGUUUCUACAAAGAAAAUACUAAUAUAAUCAUGGAGACAUUCACUUCUCUUGGUUUUAGCGUGUACGGAGGUAAGAAUGCACCAUAUGUUUGGGUUCAUUUCCCUGGUCAAAGCUCAUGGGACGUGUUCAGCGAGAUACUUGAGAAGACCCAUGUGGUAACAACACCUGGCAGUGGUUUCGGACCAGCUGGUGAUGGUUUCAUUAGGGUUUGUGCUUUUAGUCACAGAGGCAAUGUUCUAGAGGCCUGCAAAAGAUUCAAGCGGUUAUACAAGUGAAGUGUAGUAUGAGAAUGGUUUCAGUUUCAGCAGCCCUCCAUUAUGCUCCAUGUUCUCUGUGAUAGCAGGACUGGAGCAGGAUUCGUAUCUUAUGUAUCUCCCUCGUUAUUUCUUAUCAGAUUCUAUUUUUAAUUUGGUGUAGAACCUAGUAACUUUUACAAAGAUUGAUUUUGAAUUGGUAUACCCUGAUCCAUUUGUAAGGGUCCAAAUUUGGUCACUGUUACAAAAGUCGCAUCUUGAAAAGCUUUCCUAGGGACAAAAGUAGCAUAACCCAAGCACAUUUUGAUCAGAGGAGAGCAAUUUUUAACACAGAAACUGAACU